GCAUCGAUGAUUCAUUGGUAGAAUGCUCGCCUGCCACGCGAGCUGCCCGGGUUCGGUUCUCGGCCGAUGGG
rfam:Haemonchus contortus, ISE/inbred ISE, WGS project CAVP01000000 data, contig: Hcontortus_46386